rnacentral:rRNA from 1 species
AUGACGGAAAAACUUUUUGUCCAAACAUUAAUUGGUCGUGUAUUAGCAGACGAUAUAUAUAUCGGUUCACGAUGCAUUGCCGCGCGAAAUCAAGAUAUUGGAAUUGGAUUAGUCAAUCGAUUCAUAACUGCCUUUCGAGCACAACCAUUUCGAGCACAACCAAUAUAUAUUAGAACCCCCUUUACUUGCCGAAGCACUUCUUGGAUCUGUCAAUUAUGCUAUGGCCGGAGUCCUACUCAUAGUGAUCUGGUCGAAUUGGGAGAAGCCAUAGGUAUUAUUGCAGGUCAAUCAAUUGGGGAGCCAGGGACUCAACUCACAUUAAGAACUUUUCAUACUGGCGGAGUAUUCACAGGGGGUACUGCCGACCUUGUACGAUCCCCUUCGAAUGGAAAAAUAAAAUUCAAUGAGAAUUUGGUUCACCCCACAUGUACCCGUCAUGGGCAGCCUGCUUUUCUAUGUUAUAUAGACUUGCAUGUAACUAUUCAGAGUCAAGAUAUUCUAUAUAGUGUGAAUAUUCCCUCAAAAAGCUUGAUUCUAGUGCAAAAUGAUCAAUAUGUAAAAUCCGAACAAGUAAUUCCGGAGAUUCGUGCCGGAACGUCCACUUUACAUUUUAAAGAAAGGGUACAAAAGCAUAUUUAUUCUGAAUCAGACGACGAAAUGCACUGGAGUACUGAUGUUUACCAUGCGCCCGAAUAUCAAUAUGGUAAUCUUCGCCGAUUACCAAAAACAAGCCAUUUAUGGAUAUUGUCAGUAAGUAUGUGCAGAUCCAGUAUAGCGUCUUUUUCACUCCACAAGGAUCAAGAUCAAAUGAAUACUUAUGGUAAAAAAGAUAGGGAAAUUCUUGAUUAUUCAACGUCGGAUCGAAUCAUGUCCAAUGGCCAUUGGAAUUUUAUCUAUCCUUCUAUUUUUCAAGAUAAUUCAGAUUUGUUGGCGAAAAAGCGAAGAAAUAGGUUCGUCAUUCCAUUACAAUAUCAUCAAGAACAAGAGAAAGAACUAAUAUCCUGUUUUGGGAUUUCAAUUGAAAUCCCCCUUAUGGGUGUUUUACGUAGAAAUACUAUUUUUGCUUAUUUUGACGAUCCCCGAUACAGAAAAGAUAAAAAGGGUUCAGGAAUUGUUAAAUUUAGAUAUAGGACCCUAGAAGAAGAAUAUAGGACUCGAGCGGAAGACUCAGAAGAGGAAUAUGAGACCCUAGAAGACGAAUACAGGACCCGAGAGGACGAAUAUGAAUAUGAAACCCUAGAAGAAUCUAAAUAUGGAAUCCUAUAA